rnacentral:rRNA from 1 species
AAGCGGGAAAAGCUCAAAUUUAAAAUCUGGCAAUCUUUGGUUGUCCGAAUUGUAAUCUAGAGAAGCGUUUUCCGUGCUGGACUGUGUGUAAGUUUCCUGGAUACGGAACAUCAUAGAGGGUGAGAAUCCCGUCCUUCACACAGACUGCCAGUGCUUUGUGAUGCGCUCUCGACGAGUCGAGUUGUUUGGGAUUGCAGCUCAAAAUGGGAGGUAAAUUCCUUCUAAAGCUAAAUAUUGGCGAGAGACCGAUAGCGAACAAGUACCGUGAGGGAAAGAUGAAAAGCACUUUGGAAAGAGAGUUAAACAGUACGUGAAAUUGUUAAAAGGGAAACGCUUGAAGUCAGUCAUGUUUGCUUGGACUCAGCCUUACUUCGGUUUGGUGCAUUUCCUUGCAGACGGGCCAGCGUUCAUGUUGUUUGCCAGAGAAGGAGCGAGAGAAUGUGACUCCUUUGGGAGUGUUAUAGCUCUCACUCGCAUGUGGGGAACAAUAUGGAGUGGUACAGCACGCUUGCGGUGCUUGUGCUGGCAUAAUGGCUUUAAACGACCCGUCUUGAAACACGGACCAAGGAGUCUAACAUGUCUGCGAGUGUUUGGGUGGAAAACCCGAGCGCGCAAUGAAAGUGAUGGCUGGGAAUCCCUUUUGGGAGGCACCGGUGCCCCGAGCUGACCUUCUGUGACGCAUCGGAGGCAGAGCAUAUAUGUUGGGACCCGAAAGAUGGUGAACUAUGCC